rnacentral:rRNA from 1 species
UACAGAGGGUGCAAGCGUUGUUCGGAAUUAUUGGGCGUAAAGGGAGUGUAGGCGGUUCGUUAAGUCUCAUGUGAAAUCUUCGGGCUUAGCCUGACAAAGUGCAUGGGAAACUGGCGAGCUUGAGUGUCGGAGAGGAUAGUGGAAUUCCCGGUGUAGAGGUGAAAUUCGUAGAGAUCGGGAGGAACACCAGUGGCGAAGGCGACUGUCUGGCUGACAACUGACGCUGAGACUCGAAAGCAUGGGGAGCAAACAGG